rnacentral:rRNA from 1 species
UGGUUAGUGGCAGACGGGUGAGUAAUGCAUAGGAAUCUGCCUAGUAGUAUAGGAUAGCCACUAGAAAUGGUGGGUAAUACUGUAUAAUCCCUGCGGGGGAAAGAUUUAUCGCUACUAGAUGAGCCUAUGUCAGAUUAGCUAGUUGGUGGGGUAAUGGCCCACCAAGGCUGUGAUCUGUAGCUGGUCUGAGAGGAUGAUCAGCCACACUGGAACUGAGACACGGUCCAGACUCCUACGGGAGGCAGCAGUGGGGAAUAUUGGACAAUGGGCGCAAGCCUGAUCCAGCUAUGCCGCGUGAGUGAGGAAGGCCUUAGGGUUGUAAAACUCUUUCAGUAGGGAAGAUAAUGACGGUACCUA